rnacentral:tRNA from 1 species
GGCCUUCUAGCUCAGUUGGUUAGAGCGUGGUGCUAAUAACGCCAAGGUCAUCAAGUUCGAUCCUGAUGAGGGCCA